rnacentral:rRNA from 1 species
AUUGAACGCUGGCGGAAUGCUUUACACAUGCAAGUCGAACGGUAGAGGGGGCAACCCCUCGAGAGUGGCGAACGGGUGAGUAAUAUAUCGGAACGUGCCCAGUCGUGGGGGAUAACGUAGCGAAAGUUACGCUAAUACCGCAUAUGAUCUAAGGAUGAAAGCGGGGGAUCGCAAGAACUCGCGCGAUUGGAGCGGCCGAUAUCAGAUUAGGUAGUUGGUGGGGUAAAGGCGGACCAAGCCAACGAUUUGUAGAUGGUCUGAGAGGACGACCGGCCACACUGGAACUGAGAGACGGUCCAGACGCGUACGGGAGGCAGCAGUGGGGAAUUUUGGACAAUGGACGCAAGUCUGAUCCAGCCAUUCCGCGUGCAGGAUGAAGGCCCUCGGGUUGUAAACUGCUUUUGUACGGAACGAAAAGGUCUCUCUUAAUACGGGGGACUCAUGACGGUACCGUAAGAAUAAGCACCGGCUAACUACGUGCCAGCCGCCGCAGUAA